AUGUUAAUUAUGCAUGAGUUACGUCAGGUCAAAUUGCAUAGUUAUCUGUCUUAGCCAGAUAGAUUUUCAAGAAAUCAAAUGUAAUUUACCGGAAAUCAGACUCCUUUUAUAAAAAUGAGCUUCUGUUUUUGUAAAGUGUUAGUUUGUAUUACAGAAAAUUAAUUUUCUAUAUGUUUAUUGACUGAAAAUUCUAAACGAUAAACUCCUUCCUAUCAUUGUGUGAUCACAGAUAUAUUUAUCAACGUAGAUACAAAUAUUUCCCCACAUGUGCGGUGCAUGUACACACGACAACACGAUUGAAAUGUCCUCACGACCCAUUAGACCCGUUGAACGACAGCGAAUGAGACCAUGGCUCGAAAACCUCCUUAACAAUAGAUCUGUUGAGGGUCUAAAAUGGACCGACCAGAAAAUGAAAAUAUUUGAAAUACCAUGGAGACAUGGAUCUAGACAUGGCUGGAAUCAAACUAAGGAUGCAGACUUGUUUGAGAGAUGGGCUAAACACACAGGACGAUUUGAAAAAGGAAAGCCGAAUCCAAAGAAAUGGAAAGCAAAUUUUCGAUGUGCAUUACAUAGUUUGACGGACGUCGAAGAAGUUAUCCCCAGGAAAACUGACCGAGAAAGUAAAUGUACUAGAGUGUAUCAAUUUGUGGAUGAUACCAAACAGAAAGCACGUGAGGGACGCCGGCUGUACAGACGACGAAAACUGUCAUCAGAAUCCGAUAUUUCAUCUAAAAAUAGUGCAGACAGUACUAUAACAUCAUCACCAACGAAAUACACGAGCGAUGAUGAUGUGUCCUCCUCCUCUCCUGAAUACAACAUUACCAGAGAUGCAAAGAAACGCAAGAUAGAUGGAGAUCUUACUAAACAUUCCAAUUGUAACAAGUACACGUGUAUUGAGAAAAGUGAAGCAAAAUCACAUAAAUUAAAGUACAGUCCACACCACGUAGCAUCCCAAGGACCAACCAAUGAACAAAUUCUACCACUCCCAGAUUCUACAUCUCAACUAGAUUUUAAGAUUUUUCUGGAUGGUAUAAAAAAGGAAUGUCCAGACACUGAAGUUACAGAAAUCACUCUACCGUUCAAACCAACAUUUGGAGAUAACUUUGAUAUAGAAAUAGACCGAGGAGUUUUGCUCAACCAUAUGAGUGGGUUUAUAAUGAUUCAAACUUCAGGGUGUAAUGAAUUUACAGGGUCAAGUGCAAUGGAUUCAGAUACCAACAUUCCUACAUGCAACGUUUCAAAUGAUUUUAAGGAGGUGCCUCCAUCUGGUAACGAAACAUUCCUCAACGAUUCCACUGAUGAUGAUUGUUCAGUCCCAGGUUCCUCAGACAGUUCACCAGAAUACACAUGUUUGUGAUGCCACCUAUCAAAGGGUAUGUUCAAUGAAUAACUCCAUGUAUUGUCUUAGUACCUAGCACAAUAAAACUUCCACCAAUGAUAAUGUUUGUGAUGCCACCUAUCAAAGGGAAACAAAACUACAGCAACAGAGAAUGAAAUCAAAGUAAAUUAAUUGAUGUUAUACAAUGGAUGAGGAACAUCAUUUGAUAAAAGAUAAUAUUGUUUAUAUGAAGAAGAGUGGAAGACAUAAACAAGACUGAAAGAUUUAUCAUUAAAAUAGAAUGAGUGAACCAGAAAGGGAAAUAACUUGUUAAUGUGUUCAUGAACCAGCAUGGAUUGUAAUUUGAAUAGAUGUGAACAAGAACCAGCAUGGAUGAUAAUUCAAUAGACGUGAACCAAAGAUUUGAAAAUAAUUUGUUAGAUGAUGUGAUCAAGAGUGGAUGAUAAUUCGUUGGAUGCAAGGCAACAAAAAUGAAAAAUAAUUUGUAAGAUGUGAACAAGAGUGGAUGAUAAUUUGUAGAUGUGAACAAGAGUGGAUGAUGAUUUGUUAGAUGUGAACAAGAGUGGAUGAUGAUUUGUAGAUGUAAACAAGUGUGGAUGAUGAUUUGUAGAUGUGAUUGGUAAUUGAUUGACACCAAAAAAUUUGUAUGUGAAACCGAUGUUUCAGUCCUCAAUCUUCAAUGAUCUCUUUUUUCGGUUAUCUGUGAUAUUUGAUUAGGAUGCUAUUGUACAGGAAAGAUGAGUAUUCCACCACAUAAUACCUGACAUAUGUUGCAAACCAUUAGCCCAAAAUCUUCAUUACUAUUCAGACUUGGUUUAGAAGUCUUCUUCAUGUAUUUAUAUCAUAAACUUAAAAUUUUUGUGAAAUUUGAAAAUCUUAUAUUUGAAGUCAAUUAAGAUUAAACAUUACUUUGAAAAACUAAAGGCUUGAAGUCAAUUUGAGGUUUGACAAAUAUUUUCAUACAUUCGUGUCAUUACAUGUCAUGCAUUAAAAUUAAACAUUUACCUUUGCAUUGCUAAAUAAUUUUGUUGUUGAAAAAGAUGAAAUGUUAAAGAGUUAGUAGGUUAAAGACAAGGGAAAGGCACUGGAUGAACACCUUGAGGAGUAUCCAACUGUUUUGGUUGAACUGUUGAUUUUAUAUUUGAUUAUUUUUUGAAGUUUAAAAAUUAUUUUUUUUUUUUAAAAUGCAGUGAAAAAUUUCUUAAAAUCCAGUACAAGAUUGAACUAAGGGAGAUUGAAAAGAUUUAAUAGGGUUGCCAUUGAUAUUGGAUCUGUAGACCUAUUGUUUUGUUGAUACAGGCGCUGUGGACAUCUUACAAUAAGUAAAGUGUAAUAAUAAAAUCAAUCUUUGGAAUUUCCAUAAGUUUUAUCUGAUGAGUACCCGUUAUUAAAAUUUUUACAACCUGAUGUACUUUGAAGCAUUAUUAAUGAUAUCAAAGUGAAAAUUUAACAAGCAAAUAAAUUAAUGGAUGUCCAGUGUAGCCACAGAUAGGGCUGACAUUUAAAGGAAUUAAGAUUUGUCAGGAUACAAGUUUACAGUUAAAUUAUGUUCUUAUUUCUUUAUUGAAAGCAGUAUUAUGUGGGUUUUAUUAGAAACUUUAAUAGUGUUAAAAUAUUCCAGUACCUGUGAUAAAAUUGAUUAGUCAUUUCCAAAUCAACCAGUACACUAGUUUAUUGUAAAUUUGAGAUAUAGAUAAGAAUUUUCUAGUAUUUCGCUAUUCUUUGAUUUCAACAAAAGAUAUCUAUGAGAUUAGAUUUUUUCCUGAAUUAUUUCGAUCGAUCUUGCAUAAUUUUGUUAAUUUCCAUUUAUCCACAUUAGUUUCUUGAUACAUAUCAUAUUUCCAUUGCUAAUUGUUUACUUUGUUAUGCAUGUACAUUUAAAUUUUAAUGAACCUAAUAUUACAACAGGUAUCACAGUUACCUAUAAUGAUCUAUUCAUAAAAAAAGCAUAUAUAUCAGUUUAUUUUGUUGGCCAUGACUUUGUGUUGACUCAGGUAUUUGUGGUGGAUUACUAUGGUGAAUUUCAUUCUCACAACAGCAAUAAUCUACUGCUAUGAUCUGUUAUCUAUUUGUUCAUUAAAUAUUUUUUUCUGUA